CCAUUUUGAUAUCCAGCUCUCAAGGCUGGAGCAGCAGUUUACUGCCAGCCAGGAAGGGAGAAACAUCACCUAGUUGAGUUACUGCUCCAGGAACAGCUUGGAGUUAUUAAUUUCAUGUGCUAACCACUCCUGCUACAUAACCGGCAUGCUCAACUACAGAUCAUCAUCUUCUGUGAAGAAAAAAGAAGUACAGAUUUGGUUUGCAAACGUUCUGGAGGUACAAAGAUGGUGAGAGAUGACACGCUGCACCCCAGAGAUGUGGAAGGUACUUUGGAAGGCCCCAGGGGUACACGGCAGUGGUGC